rnacentral:tRNA from 1 species
GCCUUCGUGGUGUAGUGGUCAGCACACUGAGCUGGUAUUUCCGUGGUUCGAUUCCCGGCGAAGGCG